rnacentral:rRNA from 1 species
UACGUAGGGUGCGAGCGUUAAUCGGAAUUACUGGGCGUAAAGCGUGCGCAGGCGGCUUUGCAAGACAGAUGUGAAAUCCCCGGGCUCAACCUGGGAACUGCAUUUGUGACUGCAAGGCUAGAGUACGGCAGAGGGGGAUGGAAUUCCGCAUGUAGCAGUGAAAUGCGUAGAUAUGCGGAGGAACACCGAUGGCGAAGGCAAUCCCCUGGACCUGUACUGACGCUCAUGCACGAAAGCGUGGGGAGCAAACAGG